ACAUUUCUACAAGUAUGCGCAUAUAUCUCAUUUUCUUGAUUUCUUAAGCAAUAAUCACUUAAUUUAAUUCACAAUUGCAUUUCAAACACAUAUUAAGUACAUAUUAACAUGUAUAAUUCACAUCAUCAACCCACAUAUUUGUAACCCACAUUUUCAUUCAUGUAUAAGCUGUAACUUGACCGAAAGUACACAUAUACUCAAACAUCCCAAUAAAUAUCCUUUAUAACUCCAUCAUAUCUCACUAUUCAACUUUACCUAUUUCCAAUAGAAAAUCAACUUCCACAUACCUGAACAUUGAAUUCAUUUAGCACAUUUAAUCACUGUUAACGAUACCCGUUGAAUCAUUCGAAAUCAUUACGGAUACUCAUUAAGCACAUAUAGCUCUUACAAUGCCAUAUCCUAGAUAUGGUCUUACAUAUGCUCACAUAUCGAGCCGAUGCCAUGUCCCAGACAUGGUCUUACACACUAUCUCAAAUCAAUGCCUUCGUCCCAGACGAGGUCUUACAUGAAUUCCACUUCACACACUUAGUGCCCACUGACCGAUCUCGCACUCAUAGUGCUCGAUUAAAGGAAUUCGCACACACACAGUGCCUCUAAUCAUUCACACACAUAGUGCUCUUAUUCAUUCGUUAUUACACAUUGAAAUGACUUAACCAAGUCUAUAAACAUCAUGUAUGAACACUUUUAAACAUAUCAUCUCAUUUAAAUUUGAAUUCGUAUAGUAAUGAAUACUUAAACUUUGCUCAAAUUACCGGCACGAAGCCUACUAGGCACGAAGGCCCGAAUACACGUCACUAGCAUGAUUGCUCUUCGGGACCUAGCCCGGAUAUAACACCAGCACGAAUGCUCUUCGGGGUUUAGCACGGAUAUAUCACUAGCACGAAUGCUCUUCGGAACUUAGUCCGGAUACAUCACUAGCACGAAUGCUCUUCGAGACUUAGCCCGGAUACAUCACUAGCACGAAUGCUCUUCGGGGUUUAGCACGGAUAUAUCACUAGCACGAAUGCUCUUCGGAACUUAGUCCGGAUACAUCACUAGCACGAAUGCUCUUCGAGACUUAGCCCGGAUACAUCACUAGCACGAAUGCUCUUCGGGGUUUAGCACGGAUAUAUCACUAGCACGAAUGCUCUUCGGAACUUAGUCCGGAUACAUCACUAGCAUGAAUGCUCUUCGGGACUUAGCCCGGAUACAUCACCAGCAUGAAUGCUCUUCGGGACUUAGCCCGGAUACAUCACUAGCACGAAAGCUCUUCGGGACUUAGCCCGGAUCAUCGUCGAGACCUUUAGCUCGGAUGAAAUCUCCACACAAGGCCAGCGAAUUUUAAUCCGGACAUAAUCUCUGUACAUAGCCAUCGGGUCUUUACCCGGACAUAAUCUCUUCAUAUAGUCAGCGGGUCUUUAAACUCGGAUUCACAUCACUGAGUCUCAUACAUAUUUAUUCACAUGUUAUCAUGUUUCACCUGGCACAAAUCACAUUUAUAAUUUAAUCAAUUCAUUCACAUGUAAACAUAUAACAUGAUUCUUGACUUUAAGUCGUAAAUAUCAUUCAAAUCUAAUACAUGUAUGCUUCUUUUACUAAACUUUCAGCUCAAUAAGCAAUCACACAAAAGCAUAUAUCCCCAAUCUCUUCCUUUGUUCAUUUCUCUAAUAACCUUAUUUUGAUAAGGACAAUGGGACAUCAUUCAUCUAUCAUACAUGUAUAUCAUGGCAUUUUAAGUUAAAUACCAAAUUCAAUUACUCAAAACUUACUUAUGUUAUACCCUUCUCAAUAUUGACACGUCAUAAGCAUGUCUCAGUCCUCUCAAUACCAUCUGCUACAGCUCGAUCGGGAUCGGAAUUCAUUACAAUAAAUAAACACAUUUUCAAUUGUCAGAAAUCAGCACACUAUCAAAUAAUCACAUAAUGGCAUGUAUAGCUAGACCCAAACGUAUUACGAUAGUCCUAGAAUCAACUAAACCGUAGCUCUGAUACCAAUAAAAUUGUAACACCCCGUACCCGAGGCCGUUACCGAAGUCGGACACGAGGGGUUCACAGACUAAAUUCGCUUACUAUCGCAGUCCAUUUUAAAUAUUUCCAGACAGCUGGCUAACUGUGUCGCUGUCACCUUAAAAAUCAUAUCUUGAGUUUCACAACUCGAAAAUCAGUUUCGUGAUUUUUCCCUGAAACUAGACUCCUAUGUCCAUCUACAUAUUUUUUUCUAGAAUUUUUGGUCGGGCCAAUUAGUACAGUUUAUUAGUUAAAGUCUCCCCUGUUACAGGGUGCGAGUACACUGACCUUCAUGCAUUACAAUUCGGAUAUCUCCCUGUACAGGGCUUCAAUACUGAUGCCAUUUGUUUCUAUAGAAACUAGACUCAGAGAGGAAUCUAUACAUAUAUGGCAUGACUCCUAAUUAUCUCUGGUUAAUUUAUAAUGAAUUUCCAAAUUCAGAACAGGGAAUCCAGAAACCGUUCUGGCCCUGUCUCACGAAAACCUAAUUAUCUCUUAACAUACCACUCAUAUGACCAUUUAGUUUCUUCCAUAUGAAAUUGGAUUCAUCAAGGUUCAUUUAAAUAAUUUAUUCACUAUUUAAUUCUAUUCCUACUAUUUUUAGUGAUUUUCCAAAUCUACAUCACUGCUGCUGUCAGCAUCUGCCUUUAAGGUAGACUUUACCUAUUUCAUAGUUUCCAUGAUUCAACUAGCCCUUUUAGCAUAAAUAGCACAAAUUAUGAUAGUGAUUAACCAUUCCCAUGGCCAAUCCUUGUUAAGCAUAUCCACACCUCUCAAUAACCAUAUCCAUACCAAAUGAUUAUAACAUUAUGCUCAAACAUAUAUAAGCCAUUUUCGCAUGGCUAUCCAAAAUUAUACAAAUCCAAAGGGUCCAUGACCCACUACAAAAAGGGUAGUCCUAUACAUGCCAUUUUCAGAGUUCAACCAAAAGUGUACCAAAAGGGCUUUGAUAGUGUGGGAGACUUCGACUUCAAUAAUCCCGAGUCCGAUAGCUGACGAGCCAAAAUCUAUGAAACAGAGAUUCAAAGAACGGAGUAAGCAUUUAAUGCUUAGUAAGUUUUAAGCAAGACAAAGUGUUCUCAAUCACUAUUAUUGGUCAUUCAUUUCAACUGUUCGAUGAAGUUAAUCUAGAGCUUCAUCUCGAUCUAUAAUAUAAUUAAACGCAACACUUGGCUGCCACAUAUAUACUUUCGAAUAAUAAUGACCUAGAUGGUCAAAUAUUUCCAAAGCACAUUCUCACAUUUGGAGUUAUAAUAUUAAUCACAUUUACCUACCUCUUUGAUACUGAUAAUUCACCUCGAAAUCACUCCACCGAUGAGUAAGUAAUACGUACCUGAACAUCUUGAAUACAUAAUACUUAUUUGAUGGUAACUUAAUGCAGAUACUCAAUAUCAAAGUCUUACUUGAAUCCUAGCAUUUAGCCGUCGGGUCUUUAAAGCUCGGAUAUAGUACGAGCACGAAGCCUACGGACAUUAAUCAGGAUAAUACUCUCGCAUAAAGCCUGCGGGGUUUUAACCCGGAUAUAGUACUGACACAAUUUCCCUUCGGGACUUAUCACAUUUAUACACUUUUACAUCCAUCACGUUGGCCACUCGGCCCUGUCACAUAUAUACACUUUCACAUUCAUCACAUCGGCUAUUAGGCCUCAUCACAUAUAUACACUUUCACAUUCAUCACAUCGGCCAUUAGGCCUUAUCACAUAUAUAUACUUUCACAUUCAUCACAUCGGCCAUUAGGCCUUAUCACAUAUAUAUACACUUUCACAUUCAUCACAUUGGCCAUUCGGCCUUAUCACAUAUAUACACUUUCACAUUCAUCACAUCGGCUAUUAGGCCUUAUCACAUAUAUACACUUUCACAUUCAUCACAUCGGCCAUUAGGCCUUAUCACAUAUAUACACUUUCACAUUCAUCACAUCGGCCAUUAGGCCUUAUCACAUAUAUAUACACUUUCACAUUCAUCACAUCGGCCAUUAGGCCUUAUCACAUAUAUAUACACUUUCACAUUCAUCACAUUGGCCAUUCGGCCUUAUCACAUAUAUAUACACUUUCACAUUCAUCACAUCGGCCAUUAGGCCUUAUCACAUAUAUAUACACUUUCACAUUCAUCACAUCGGCCAUUAGGCCUUAUCACAUAUAUAUACACUUUCACAUCACAAUUAUCCAAAUAUACUUCACAUAUCACAUAUACUAUCAUGUAUACACUUUGUCUUGGCCGAAUCUACAUUAAUCAUUUCCCAAUGAAUAAUUCAAUUUCACGCCAUACUAUCAUUUCAUAUUCGAAUACUCAUAAACUUACAAUUUCACAAAUUUUAAUAUCAAAGAUCCAUCUAACACUCAGGUAUCGUUUUACAAUAUCACGAUUUAGAAUUCACGUAUGGGUUUAAUCAAUAGCUUAUGAGUAACUAAAACAAGUUUUAUCCAUGUUUACAACAAAAUCACAUAUUCACUACGAGCUGUUUUCCUGAGCAGUAGUCACUAAAUUAUUUAUAACUGGAGCUACAAAACUCCAAAUCACUUGCCGUUAAUUUUCCCUGAAUAUAGACUCGUAUAUCUUCCAUCCAUAAAAUUUUCAGAAUUUUAGGUUUGGCCAAUCAAUACCAGAUUUUUCUUAAAGUUUCCCCUGUUUCACUGUUUGACUAAUCUGACCACUCUUCACUACGAAUCAAAUUUCUCAUUUUACAGAAUUAAAAAUGUGUUGUAUUUGAUUUCAUUUGAAACUAGACUCAUUAAGGAGUCUAAGCAUAUAAAUUUUAUCUUAUAACCAUUUUUGUACAAUUUAUAAUGAUUUUCUAAAAACAGAACAGGGGAUUUCGGAGUCUUUCUGACACUGUCCCACACAACUUUAAAUAUCUCUUUAUAGGAAAUUUCUUUGCUUCCACGGUCUCUUUUAUAAGAAACUAGACUAAAUAAGCUUUGAUUACAUAUUUUAUUCAGCCUAUAAUUCCACACCAACAAUUUAUAGUGAUUUUCUAAAAUCACGUUACUGCUGCUGUCCAAAGCAAAUUAUUACAAUUUGCUCUUAAAUUUCCAAGUCCAAACACUUAUGAACUUACCAUUUGAGUUUAAGACAUAUCAUGGCCACAUCAUAUCUUAUUAAAUCAACUCAUUAUGUCCUAUUAUGACUGAAUUUACUCAACGUUUAAUCACUUAAAACUUACCUCGGAUGUGGUCGAACGAUUUCGGCGGCUAUUCGAUCACUUUUUUCCUUCCCUUUAUCGGAUUUAGUUCCCCUUUGCUCUUGAUCUUAAUUUAACAAAUAAAUUGAUUUAAUCAUUUGAACAUCGAAAAGAGAAAAUCAAGGCACUUAACCCAUAUAUAUACAUUAGACAUUAAAGUCACAUACAUAUGAAAUCAUGAAUCAACUCAACAUAUUAACCCACACUCUCUUUUAGCCGAUUGUCUAAGCCAAGAUUAAGCCACCAAUAUGCUUACUUAUGGCCGAACAUACACAUCAACUUAUGUACUCAUUCAUGUGGCCGAACAUACAUGUCUAUGUUGAGGCCGAUUGCAACACUUAAUACAUUCUACAAGUAUGGUCACUACCAUUUUGUUUCAAGUUCAAAACUUGGCCAAUACACAUAUAUACACUAGUAAAGCAUCCUCUCCCUUUCCAUCAAUUCAACACAUGCAUUACUCAUUAAUAUACAAAAUUAUAUUCGGCCUUAGCACACAACUUGCUAGCCGAUUCUUCUCCAUCUAGCAACUAAUGCACAUAUGUGCUCAUUUGUUAGACUCUACUUCAUCUAACAACAACCAUAUUUUCCCUUCUACUUCCUACCAUGGCCGGAUGCUCAAGAUACCUCAAUAUCGAAACUUUUAGCUUGGAUUGCUUAAAGAACUUGGUGAUGAGUUCAAAUUUACCUAACACCUCAAGCCUCAUAACACAUCUAUAUAGCUAACAUGCUAAUAGUCUCAAGGCUUCAACUAAAACUUUUGAAGCCUCUUAGUCGAAUACUAACUCUCUAAUAAUCCCAAAUCCAUCCAUGAGAUAGUUAGAAUUUAGACUAAUCAUCCAAGGGAUGUAUGAACUUUCAAAGCAACACUAAACAUACCUUAAUCUAGUGAGCCUUCAUAGCCGAUUUUUCUCCAAGCUCAUUCCCUUCCUUUCUUUCUUCUAUUCGGCCAAAGAUGUUCAAGGAUGAACACUUUUUUUUUCUUUGUUUCCUUUCUUCCAUUCACAGCAAAGGGGGGGGGGGCAUGGAUGAGACCAUUUUUUUUUUGUCAUCAUUUACCUUCCCAUUAUUAUUUUAUCCUUUCUCCCAUAAACCAUUAGCACAACAUGUUUUAUGACAUGUUUUGCCCAUCACCCUUUGUCAUGGCUGGCCACUAGUAAUUAAAUGGGGGAAAUUGACAUGCAAGUCCACCCUUUUGAUUACAUGCACUAAUAGAUCCUUAUGGAUUAACCUAUCACAUUUCAAAAGUGUCACACAUAAGUCCUAUUACUAAAUUCACAUGCAAUCGACUAAAUCGAAGCUCAAAACUUUCACACAUUCAUAUUCACAUAUUUAGACAAUAAAUAUCAUAUUCAAAUAAUUUGGUGACUCAGUUUAGCGAUCCCGAAACCGCUUUCCGACUAGGGUCAUUUUAGGGCUGUCACAACUCUCCCCCACUUAAGAAAUUUUCGUCCCCGAAAAUUUCUACCGAUGCAUAGUUUAGGAUAACGUCCUCUUAUUGAAUUAUAUCCACAAAGACAUUAGCUCAUCGAUAGCAAUUGUAAUUCAUUAUUGAUUUCGCAUCGAUCUAUAAAAUCAUUUUCUUAUCUUAAAACAAAUACAUAAACAUUUCUACAAGUAUGCGCAUAUAUCUCAUUUUCUUGAUUUCUUAAGCAAUAAUCACUUAAUUUAAUUCACAAUUGCAUUUCAAACACAUAUUAAGUACAUAUUAACAUGUAUAAUUCACAUCAUCAACCCACAUAUUUGUAACCCAC
rnacentral:lncRNA from 1 species